rnacentral:rRNA from 1 species
ACCCCAGACUCCUACGGGAGGCAGCAGUGGGGAAUAUUGCACAAUGGGGGAAACCCUGAUGCAGCAACGCCGCGUGAGUGAAGAAGUAUUUCGGUAUGUAAAGCUCUAUCAGCAGGGAAGAAAAUGACGGUACCUGAGUAAGAAGCCCCGGCUAACUACGUGCCAGCAGCCGCGGUAAUACGUAGGGGGCAAGCGUUAUCCGGAUUUACUGGGUGUAAAGGGAGCGUAGACGGCGAUGCAAGUCUGAAGUGAAAGCCCGGGGCUCAACCCCGGGACUGCUUUGGAAACUGUAUGGCUAGAGUGCUGGAGAGGCAAGCGGAAUUCCUAGUGUAGCGGUGAAAUGCGUAGAUAUUAGGAAGAACACCAGUGGCGAAGGCGGCUUGCUGGACAGUAACUGACGUUGAGGCUCGAAAGCGUGGGGAGCAAACAGGAUUAGAUACCCGUGUA